rnacentral:rRNA from 1 species
GACGAACGCUGGCGGCGUGCUUAACACAUGCAAGUCGAACGGUGAAGCGCCUUCCUUUUUGGUGGGUGUGGAUGAGUGGCGAACGGGUGAGUAACACGUGAGUAACCUGCCCCCUUCUUCUGGAUAACCGCAUGAAAGUGUGGCUAAUACGGGAUAUUCUGGGUCUGUCGCAUGAUGGGUCUGGGAAAGAUAUUGUUUCGGUGGGGGAUGGGCUCGCGGCCUAUCAGCUUGUUGGUGGGGUGAUGGCCUACCAAGGCGGUGACGGGUAGCCGGCCUGAGAGGGUGGCCGGUCACACUGGGACUGAGACACGGCCCAGACUCCUACGGGAGGCAGCAGUGGGGAAUAUGGCACAAUGGGCGCAAGCCUGAUGCAGCGACGCCGCGUGAGGGAUGGAGGCCUUCGGGUUGUGAGCCUCUUUCGCCAGUGAAGCAGGCCUGCCUCGUUUGUGGGUGGGUUGACGGUAGCUGGAUAAGAAGCGCCGGCUAACUACGUG